UGGGCCCCACUUUCAGAACCUGCAGAGAAACUGAGGGACAGGUGGGAAUGUAUGCAUAGUACUGAUUUGGUUUCACCUGGUAAUAAUGCAACAAUCAGUUCAGAGUCACAGCUGGCACACGAAUUCCAUCCCAUGUGAAGAUGCAGGUGAAUGUAUGUGUGUCACACGACGUCGUAAGAACACCUGCGACAGCGACACGACAUAGAGAAGGUGAAUCACAGCUGGUUCGACUUGGAGGCUCUAACUGUGCAGUGACAUUACCUACUUGAAGCAGAGGGAGCAAUGUAGGUAGGGAUUGAUGGAGAAGGAGGUAAUCAGCGACGUUUACAGGUAUGGCAACCGAAUUUUCUUUUUCUCAUAUUUUGGUGUUAUGCACAAUUCAUCAUGUUUUGGAUUUCUCCUUUGAUUAAUGAUGAGGAAGCUCGGAUCAUGAACACUACGUGUUCGACGAUUCAGAAUCAUAAACGUCGAUAAAAUGAAAGAUAGAGGAAAUUUUGAUUAUGCACACAAUAUGUUCGAUGAAAUGACCAUAAGAAUAAAGCUUCUCGAUUAAAAAUUA